UCCCUGCAGGUCGGGAAACUAGAGUAUACU
rnacentral:piRNA from 1 species